rnacentral:rRNA from 1 species
GACAGAGGGGGCAAGCGUUGCUCGGAAUUACUGGGCGUAAAGGGCGCGUAGGCGGCCCGCUAAGUCGAACGUGAAAUCCCUGGGCUCAACCCAGGAACUGCGUCCGAUACUGGCAGGCUUGAAUCCGGGAGAGGGAUGCGGAAUUCCAGGUGUAGCGGUGAAAUGCGUAGAGAUCGGCAGGAACACCCAGGGGGAAACCAGCCGACUGGGCAUCGACUGACGCUGAGGUGCGAGAGCGUGGGGAGCGAACCGG